UUCUGAAGUUGGGACCAAUGGAGAAACUGGAAUCGACUGCAGAUAGGAAGGAAAACAAAACAGAGGGAAAAAUAAGUAUUGGGCAUGUUAAAGAAAAAAAGUUAAAAAUAAGGGUAAGUACAUUACAGAAGGAGAAGGCUGGACAUCAGAGGUGUGAUCAGGAAUCUCUUCUGAUUCUUCCUUUGAUGAUAGUACAGGAGUAUCAGCCAAAACAAAUGGAUGAAUAGUUCUACGGAAUGCCCGA
rnacentral:lncRNA from 1 species